rnacentral:rRNA from 1 species
AUACUUUAAGUAUCCUAAAGGGUUGUCGGAGACUACGACGUUGAUAGGUCAGGUGUGUAAGUGCUGUGAGGCAUUGAGCUAACUGAUACUAAUUGCCCGUGAGGCUUAACCAUACAACACCCAAGGGGUUU